CUGCCCUCCAUAGAGGAUCUGCACUUCCUGCCGACGUAAUAUCCCGAUAGAUGCAUAGACGGACACGCGCACCCCACGCGUCUCCCACCCGUCAGACGAGUAUUUCAUAGAAGUCACUGCCGCUGUUGCCCUACUCGUCCUCCUGCGUGCUGCCCGUGUGGCAGAGUGUGGUCCACGACGAGCGUCAUUUUUUUAUUAUUUGCUCUUGUGUAAGUGGCACCACAGCGCCAGACUGUACGAGACUAUUCGACGCGGGCGCCUCAGAUGGACAUUGACUUGCGCGACCGUGGAAUCGCUCGUCUCUGCUUCGAUGCCCAGGGGGCGAACAAGGAGGAGGCAACGGUCGCCAGCGCCGUCGCUGUUUUGCUGGCUGACCAUAACCGCAUUGACUGUAUCAGUGGACUCAAUGCCGUCUUCGUGAACCUCGUCGAACUGCGGCUUUCCCACAAUCAACUGGGCCGACUCAGUACCCCAUACCACCGUCUUCGGCAGACCUGUCUGCGCGAUCAUGCUGUCGCUUCACGCUGCUGCGACGGCGUGGCAUCGUGGAUUCGCUGCCUUCCUACCACGCUGCAGGUGAUCGAUGUCGCCUUUAACAACCUGCACAGCUUUCUCGAGUGCAGCUGCGAGUGCGCAGCCGCUCCGGAGCGGCACGCUGCUGCGGAUGUGCUGGAGGUAAAGCCCUCAGUCUCCGAUGCGACCGUGUCUCUCGCUCGGCUGCUGCGCCACCGCGUGCCCUUCGCGCUGCCUCUCUUCUUUUCUGCUCAGCGGUUUCCGCAGCUGCGGGAGCUCAAGCUGUCGCACAACGCCUUUGAUGUAAGCCUCCGCGAGAGCGAUGAGAUGCAGGACGGGCACAAUGCUCUUCAGGCGGCAUUGCUCGAGCACUCCAUCACCGCGACAGCCCCGACGACACUCUCCUCCGUCGACCUUUCCUACAACGGAGGUCUGGCCUCCCUGAACUGCUUCUUUCUCUCGAUUCCACCAUGCACCGGGGCGAGUGCGAAGGCGGCGGCGGCGGCAGCUGCAGCAUCGCAGUCGACUGAUACGCCGUCAUGCUCGGUGAGCUUGGCUGGCACUGGGAUCGAGGACCUUCAGGGCAUUUCAUCCGUAAACGGGCACGGCGCUGCUGUGCAGUGGGACCUGCAGCUCCACCCGUCGCCGGUUUCUCUCAUCAUCCUUCGCGCCGCACCGUCUGCGUUGCUACAGCUCACCCACGCUAUCGUGAACAUGCGCGUUGAUGGCGAGCAAAACGCGCUGGCCGCUGCGCUGACCGAGGUGACGCAUGAGGGUGGAACUGCGACGUCUGCCAUCGCGGGCUUGCAGUCGGUGGCGCAACUCGACGACCUGGAGCAGAUCGCUGCCGCUGCCAUCUUGAGAGAGGAGCCAGACAUGAGCAACGCCCUACCCGACGGCGCGACGUGGAUCUCGACCCUGGCGUACGCCUGCCUUCUGCGCCAAGUUGUUCCCUCCCUUCGCACCUUGGACCGGGUUUUCCGCGUGGAGCGAUGCGAGCAACUCCUGCUAUCGUCUUUGUGCCGCCUGCUGCUGGGAGACCCACGACCACAGCGAGCCUCCUCCUCUUGCCUGUUGCCAAUGAGAGCGCCCCCACCGCUCCACCCAAGCGCGCCGGCGGCGUUGACGGUGCCGGUUCAGCGUGGGCUAGGCGGCGCCGCACACUGUGUCGCACCGGAGCUGCAAUCGCGUAUCGUGGUCGGCACGGAGGCGUCGGAAGCGGCCGAACCCCCGGUAGGUGUCGGCGUCGCUGAUGCCUCUGCUGCAGCUGCUGCCGUGGUGCGACCAGGCCAAUUCCAAGCGGCGCUGGCCGCCCUCCGCCCGAGUUGCUCCUGCUCGGUAGCGGCGCCGGCGGCCACCACACACACCUCGUCUUGCCAUUCGACGAUGAGCGCCUCUUCUGUAUCUGCAGAAGAGGGCACGGCUGUUUCUGGCAGCAGCGACGCUGUCCCGUUUAUGUCGGGAGAAGAUUGGUAUGCGCCGUCUGGCCUGACGCCGGGGGAGGGGGCGCUGUACGAGUCUCUAUGCCAGGAAGCCAAAGAGCUGCAGGAGGCGGUGCUGGCAAGCAACGAGCGGUGCCGCGACAUCCAGGCGCACACUGAAGCACUGCAGCAGCAGCUCAGGCAAGACCGCACGCUUGUGGCAGACCAGUGGAAGGAGAUCGGCCGGUUGCGGCAGGAAAAGGAACACCUCGAGGCGAGUGUGGGGCGGGCGAAGCAUCGGCUGGAUAAGCGGCAGAAGGAAGUGACCUACGGCGUCACGGCUAUGCAGUCUCGCGAGGUGGCGGCGCGCGAGAAGGCGGCCAUGGAGCGGAUCGCGGCUCGGGAGAAGGAGCUGGAGCGCCGUGAGCGUCAGCUGCGUCAGCGUGCAGCUCGGUCUGGUACCCUCGCUGUCGAGUACCAAAGCAGCGGCCCGUCUGGGCAGCGGAAGAAGCUACGCAGCGAGGUGCUGCGUGAGGCUGCAGUUCGCAAACGAAUGGCUGAGCAGGAGAACAAGGACCCACUUGCCUACUCACCGGCGCCCUUCAAGGCGGAGAUGCAUCGCUGCAGCCCUCGCCGCUCGCCCGAUGAGCGUCCGUCAACGCACACUGCUGCCGAGGAGGAGCACGAUUACUUUGAACUGUAUGGGGACGGGGGCACCCCUGAACUUCGCGAGGUGGCAGACCAGUAUUUGGCACACCUCCCCCUGGCACAGCAGCAGCAGCUUCGCCAAGCGUCCUUGCGGCUGCCUUACAGCGGCAGCUUUGACGAAUCGCGUGGCCGCAGCCUCCAGGCAUCGCCAUCGCAGCGGCGUGGCUCCCCGACAAGCGGCGACGGUGGCGACCCUGUCGUGGGCUACGCUGCGGAGACAGACGCGAAGAACCGCGCGCCGUCUCCGGAGGCGGCUCGGGAUUUGAGCUCUCUUUCACUGUCGGAGCUGCUGGAUGCCGCGGCCGCAAUUCGGCAGAAGCAGGUGGCGCUUCAGCGGCUGCAGCACCAGUGGCAGCGGUCGCUACCGCCUCCUAUGCUGUCUCCUGGUGGGGAGGAGGCGACGCACGCUAUGGACACCGUUGUGCAGACGGCUUUCGAGAAGGCUCCCAGCCUCCACAGUCGGGCCAGUCGCGGCGGCGCCGAUGACGGCGAUGCGAGCGCAGUGCAGACACCUUUGCCAGCUGCACGCCUGGAUAUGCGUGAGAGCAGUAGACACUCACCAUUUUCAUCGCCCGCGCACGAAUCGGAGGGGUCUGUGCCGAACAGCGCGCAGCAGCUCUUUGAUCGCAUGCUGGAGCAGAGAGCUUCUGCAGCGACCCACCUGAUGGCGGUAAACACAAGUGCAAAGGCCGUUGCUGGCGACCGCACGACUCAUGUAGUUGAUUGUCUCUCCGCCAAGCAAGGAGACCGGCGCUCUCCGACCGAUGCGUGCGGAGAGGAGCGCGAUGACACCACUGGUGAGCUGACCAGUGACGCUCUCACAGGCAAGGCAGAAGACGCCGCUGGACAGCGACUACAGACUAAUCGCGCGCUGUUUCGGUAAUGAAGUGGUAGACGCGCACACACAAGGCAGAGAGACCGAGAAGUGCACCCGUGCGCCCAUGACAGCGACGCGGCCUUCUUUUACUCUUUUGCGCCUUUUGCGUAGGCCGGCAUAGAGAAUAGAAAGGAGGGGCGUGCGUGCGCCCGUGUUUUUUUUUUUGACGCGCGCUGCGUAUGUGCGACUGUGCGUUGAUGUGCUUUUCCCAACGGUCUCGGCCCGGGCACCAGGGACACCUCACACCCUUCCCCUUUCCGUGACGGAUGACCUCUGCGCAGCCGCACUCCUGUCAAGAACGGACUGCAUCUGCAGACACACACACA
rnacentral:misc_RNA from 1 species